CCCUCCGCGCCCGCCGCCGCCGGGGGACACCCGCGCCUCCUCGCCGCGGGGGCGGCGGAAGCUGCCGUCCGGCACCGAGCGGGGGUGGGGAGGGGCGGAGGGCGCGCCCCGCCGCUAACUUUCCCCCUCAGCCUGUGGUGGCGGGGCGGGGGGCUGCUGCAGUGGCCGGCGAGGCGAGGGGAGCCGCUCCCGGGGUAGGUGCUGGGGCCGGCGGGCUGGCUCCUGACGCGGCCGUCACCUCCGCCGCCCUGCGGGAAGCAACCAGUCCCCGCCGAGGCCGCCAAACCGAGGGGCGGCCGCCCCUUCCCUGAGGGGAGCGGAGGCCGCCAGACACAGCCCUCACCUGCCCGCUGACGAGCCGGAGGCCCGGGGCACCUGCGCGCCCUGCGGCCGGCCAGGCCUCGGGGGCAGCGGGGUCUUCCCGCCCGCCGCUAGGUGGGCUCCGGCCCCCCCGAGCAGCCGGUUCCAGCCCGCGGGCCGGGUCCUUCCCGCCUUCGCCCGGCGGCCGCCGACAUGCCCGUUUAGGCGGGGCAGGGGUGUGAGGCUGCGGCCCUGAGGGGAGAGUUUGCAGAAGUCACUCGCACCUCGCUCCCAAACCCUGUUUUGACUUCUUGUCUCCAGAAAGCUAUUCAGCAGAGAGCCUGACUGAUUAAUUGAUUUUAAUGAAGGUCUCCCUAGGCUCAAAUUCACAGACAGCUUUAUUUAAAAUUAAAAGGGGGAAAAAAAAAAAAGAAAUUGCUUGUCAGGGAGGCUUUUUUUUUCCCACUUCUGUUUUAUAAUCCUCUCUUUUUUUCCUCAUAUUUAUACGGUUCUGCAGUGUUAUUAAUGAUUUUGAGCAAAAGUGUGACAAAAAAUCCUCAAAAUCUGCAUAAGGCUCUCUUAAUGGUACAGUCGUGAGUCCACUGAUCCUGCUGAUGGGUAACAGUCCCAGGCUGUUCUCAUCUCUGUAAAAGUAAGCACGUGCUUAAGAGUAAGCAGAGCCCUUGCCUGUUCUAUUAGCUACAGUGCAGGGGGGAUGCUCCUGGCAGUGCUGCGGGAGCCAGAGAAUAGCAAAGCCCAAAACCACAGCAAGGUGGUUAGUGAAGGGAAAGAUGAGUACUUGCCUAUUUGCUUAAAGCAUGAAAAGUCUUGGAGCUACUUCCUGGUGUCCUGUAUAUCAGAGAACCUAUUCAUUCAUGGAACUUUCUCACUAUGAGUUGACUCAGCAAAGGAGGAGUUGUUCCUGCUUAAGGCCAUGAUCCUGGAAACUCAUGCCACCCAAGCUGCUGUCGUGAACAAUGCCACAAAAAUCACGUACAUGCAAGUGUCCCUGUGAUCAAGACAUAAAGCAAUAAAUAAUGAGUGGAGGAGUAAAAUGGUAAGUAAGCAUCUUCUGUAGUAAGUUGCAGUUUUGGAGACUAAUUUGCAUGGUCAAACACAUAGGCCUUUUUAAACCUAUAGUGGUUUUGGUAAGCAUGAAUCCUCAGCACUGUAAACAAUUUCAGGACUGUAGAUUUUACAUUUUUGUUUGCAUAUGAGUAGGCACUGUCUGGGUGUUGAUCACUGGCAUAAUUCAAAUAGAAAAUUUAUAAGGCAGGAAAUUGAGAAUAAUCAGAAUGAGUAUUAAAUUAAGAAUUUCGUGUAGCUGAUCUGUCAAGGUCAACAGAUGUGUAUUUUAGUCUAUUUGUUAUGAAACAAAACUGUGAUGGACAUUGGGUUGAUAGCAAUAACUUCUAAUAGCUGUUAACAAAGAACACUGGUCACCUACAGAGAAAUCAAAGUGGUUUUGUAGCUGUGAAGUAAUAAACAUUGGUGGUUAACCACCUGCUAGCAAUAGACAAUGUAAUGAUUGCUGUCUGACAUGUGAACUUGUUCAGUUAGCUGCAGGUCUCUUUUCAUUCAUUGUUUGCUAAAUUCUCUGGGUUUUUGAGACCUUUUGAACUCAGGAGAGCACUUAACUUGCAGCCAUCAGGAAGAGCUUGAGAGUCAGGAGUUACUUAGUAUCCCAUAGGGUAAGGAUUCAGGUCAGUAUCUUUUGAUGAAAUUAUUUCUCCGACUCUGAGGGGCCUGAUUUUGUAGAUACUCAGCUUUGAUGGCUUCACUAGAAGUUAGGUUAGUUAAACCACUUCACAUUUUUUCCCCUAUGAUUUAAGCACUUGGAACGGGUUUUUUUCCUUCCGUAGAAUCAGGAGGGAUUUCUUCCCAGUUUACGUAAGGGCCUUCUGCCCCUGGUUUCGGUGUCAAGGCAAGGGACCAGGCACAUCACAGAUGGGCAUGAACAAACCCAGUGAAGAAUGCCCCAAACAACUCAUAGCGUCCCUGAUUCACCAUUGUUGUGUUACCAUCUGGUUAUUACAGGCAAAAUACAUUAUGUCCUGAUAAUAAGUGGUGUUUGUAGAAGGAACACGUGCUCUUCCCCCUGUACUUGUUCUUUCCUCAAAUAUCUGGGAGAUGAAGUAAUUUUAUCAAACUUCUUAUCAGUAGCUUACCUGAUCAAAUAUAUUUGGAAGUUCUUUAUUAUAAAUGAUCAUUUUCUUAUUCAAGCUUUACUGGGAUAGAGAACAAGGGUAUCCAUAUGACACACUGCCAAAGUGCUCAGUAGUUGCCCCUGUCUUUUGCUCUGUGGGAGAAAUAAAUGGAAAUUAGACCAAAGUGAUUUGUCAAGCCAGGGCUAAUUGCUGAGCAGAUCCCUUUCAGAGGUGGUAAUAGCUAUCUUAAAGGAUACUUCAAAUAAAUGGAGCUGAGAAAAAGCACAAAUGGCUGGUAAGCCCUGUUUUAUUUGUUUUAGAAGAAGUUAUUUUGAAGACCCCUAAGAGUCUUGGUUUAACAAUUAUUUCAGCUUAAGCAGACUGUUAGGCACAACUGAGAGCAGGACUGUGUGAAAGAGGAAGGAUGUGCUGCUAUUCAGACCUCUGUACAAGGCUAAGAGCUGAUUAACUGAGAAGAUUUCUAGAUCAUCUGAUUACCUGCUUACAAAUGCGUAUGUUAGGACUACAUCUGUUCUUCAUAUCUUUGUGCAUCAUUUUAAGUCCGUUUUGAUAAAGUGAGAAAUGUGUUUAGAGUAAUUUAAAUUAAUUUCUUCCUUAAACUGAUGGGUUUAUGGUCUUAGAUCCCUUAUCUCCUUGGGUGGUCUGGCUAUUAGACCUUUUUCAAUGACUUUUGGCUGCUGGUCUUUCUAAUAACCAAUUUUUACUAAUAACUUAGUAGUUAUUUUGUGGUAAUUGACUGCUGUAACUGCUGGGCCUUUUUGGGGGAUAGAUUGCUACCAACUACUGUUCUGGAUUCCCAAAAGCUGGUUAUUCUGUCCUAGCACUCUCUGGAAGGCUAGACAUCUGAAUUUGAGAAACUUGAUAGUUGCUGCCCUUGGUGCUUUGAGUGUCGUAAGAAUUUUAUUGAAGAUACCACCCCUCUGUCAAAUACUAAGGAAAAGCCAAUACUUGCUUCAGAGUCUUAUUUAAAAGCAUAGUUUAAGUACUUGUUUUCAGCUGCAUUGAUAAUAGUGGAGUGUUAAUGAAAGAUUUUUAUGACUCUUGCACAAGGAUAACAUCAAUCUGUGAAACCUUUUAAAAUUGCAGUCUUACUACAGUUUUGAUUUUUACACUAUUGAAGUCAUACUUGAAAAUAUCUACUUAUGUUUGUUCUGAAGAAAAAAUAAACCAAGCAUAAUUGGCUGUUACAAAGAAAUGGUUGACAACACCUACCCCUAAAAAAAUUACUGAUUCAUUUUUCAAUAACAAUUUUAAUCAUUUUAUCUCUACUUGCUUCAGCAUACUGGCCAUAUAAGAAAUGUUGCACGAUUUGGGAAGAUUUCAUAACAGAGACAUAUCACUGCUGCAAAAUAAUUAUACAAGUACAACAUAUUUAUGCAGUUUGUGUCAUGAGAAUCCUAUUUUUAAUUUAUACUGCUGAAUUAGUUUUCUCUUGGCAGUGCACUGUGUAGCUUCAGGGUGCAAUGGAAAAACAAAAUGUUAAGCUGGGAAAGCACUGUAUUCCCCACUAGUUCCAGAUGCCCCAAAACAAUAGACAGAAAUCCUGCUUCGUUGAACUUUCUGAGAGACUUCCACAUUUUCAGAAGGACAAAGUUUCAGAUAAACAGGAGAUCAAAGUUGCCUCUGUAUUUCCAGUUACCUGUAGCCUAGGAAAAAGGAAUUUUCUUGUUUUGAUUACUUCAGGAAAUUUGGAGAUAACAUGAUGUUAUAGCAUAGACCAUUGUUACAGUGUUAGUUUGCCUUGGAAUUGUAAAAUAAAAGCUAUUUCAGUGGUCUCUUGCAAGAACGCGCAAUUAUAUAGGUAUUAAAUAACCUACUCUAUUCUUACUAUGGGUUAUAGUGGAAUACUUUACUAAAACCCUUCAUGUUGUUUCGUUCAGACGUUUGGAGGUAAUUAACAUAUGGUUUUAAAAAUAACUGGCUAGAGAAAUAACUCAAAUUUGUAAGUUUAUCUCAAUGAAAGGUAAACUUGUUCUUUAAUAAAGAUGAAUACUAGAGUGAAACUUUCAGUUUAAUAGCUUUUACAGCAUCUGAAAAAUGCAGAAGCCUAUGUCAUUCUGAAAUUUUUGCCUUUUCCACUUUCACUUCAUAAAUGGUGUACCCAACUUGUAAGCAGAUUUCAUGGCAUCUACUGACAUAAGAAUUAAGUAAAUUAAAGGUAAAUUAAUUCCAAAAUGCAUCGAGAUUAUAGCAUCAUUCUCACAAAAAUAAAUCAUAAAUUAGAAUGAGCACUUCCUAGUUUUCUUUGUUUGGAGUAGAAGUGUCAUCACAAAUGACAGAGUGUCGACUCUCAUCCUCUGACCUCAAAGAUCAUUUAGGAUGCUGUAGUUACAGGGUGAUUUAAAGCAAUCCUAAGGCAACUCUAACUUGCAUCAGUGAUCUGGAGUGCAAAGACGUGGUACACAAGUCCCAUGUGGUUUCAUGCCAUCUUAUGUUUUCCUUCCUAUUCACCUAUUCCUCUGCCCCAAAUCAAAAUUUAUCUAGGAAAAUCCAGGUCCUUCGUUUCUGGAUUUCCUAGUCACAGGGAGCUGUGUAUUUUAGAGCCUGCAAAUUUAGAACAGACUCUCUUCUGUUUAGCCUGAGCAUUUCCCAUUUAAAAAUUCUUCACUGAGCCAAGAAUACCAGUGACAGGGAGAAUUCUGCACUGAGGCAUAGACGCCAGCAAAAAUCCACUUGCUAAAUAGUAUGUAGGGUCAGAGAAUCCCUAGUGUUCAAGCAGGCAAUUACACAGGGGAUUCUUCCUGUUCUUAAAAGACGUGCCUUUCUCACAUUCUUAAACUAGGUUAGGGAGAAGGCUGCUUUGGCAUAAAGUUGAUUUACAGCACUAGGGAUGGUUUUCAAUCUCUAAGGAAAGGAAAUCCGGUAACUUUGUUAACAGGAGGGUUGGCAAUCAUUGACUGUGGAGUCUGACAUCAUUAGAAAGGAGAUCCACAGUUCAGAAUAAGAUUUGUUUGCAAAGGAAAGAAACCCCCAUCUCAGUAAAGCUCUCAUGAUCUUCCAUGGCCAAUGAACUAUCAGAAGCUCAGCUGCAUAAAUAUUGCACAUCACUUGCAAUCACCACCAAGGGUAGUUUGUCAAAGAAACGUGUAUUUCUUGUGACAGCUUAAAUUAGAGAUACAAAUAACAUGCCUAUUAUCAUCACAUGGAUUGUGAGGACUGAAUAUGACCACUACAAUCCUGUAUGAAAGAACAGAAGAACAUCAGCUAGUGAAAAUGUAUGGAGUUCUUCAGUAGCCGCUGAGGUCCUAUGAAGAUACUGUGGCCUCCACUGGGCAGAUUGCCGCACAUGGUUUACUUGAAUCACCUGUUCAAAUCCACAAAUACAUUGUAUCAUUGGAAGUAGCUAUUGAACAGGAAAAGAAGAGUAACAAGAAAAAUCUCAGAAACACUACGGUGGAAAAUUAUAAUAGUGUCGUGCAAAAAAAUCCCAAAGGAGGAAACUCGCCAGUGUAGUAAAAAUAUAGAAAGUAAAAAAUAGAAAGGAAAGGAGAGAAAGUAUGAGAAACAUGGGAAAUGACAGAUGGUCAAGACUGGGGAUCUAACGCUUCCAGGAAGAUGCUAUUUGCUGUCUGCCAUUCUAGGCACGGGGUGCAACUCUGUAUCAUAGAAAAUAUGAAUGCCCACUGAAGAGAAGUGCCAAGAUGAUCCAAAAGCUCCCUUGUUUCCUUCAGAGGAAUACACAGUUGUGAGGGCUGAAGGUGUUCUUCUGAUACCUUUCAGUAUGUAUUACAUCAUAAAUCUUACACUAAAAAAAAAAAAAAAGUUGGCAUGUUUCCACAAAAUUUAUCCUUUUCCUCACCAGUACAGCAAUGUAUAAGAGUUGCAAGCUGCAAGAUACACAAUUACUUGAAACCCCCACUCAUUUUGUGUACGUUCUGACUGGUGUAUACCCACUGGCUUCAGUGUGAUUUUAGGUAUUCAGCACUUUGGAGAAUAUCAUCUGUAAACAGCUGCAGAAGCUCCUGCUUUACAUAAACAAAAAACUACUCAUCAUAGUCUGGGAAAGUCAUGGGUCUGCUUUAUAAACAAACAAACAAAAAUGCCUAUACAUAAUGUAGUAUUUGGAAACAAACUUGGACAUUACUCACUCUGUAGACCAUCUCCUGAUUUAGUUAUCUUACGAAACAAAAGAAGCUAACGCACUUCUACGUUAGAUGCCAGGAGCUCCUAGUGAGGAAAGGCAUGAAAUAAAAGAGGAUAAAUUAGUGGUACUUUAGUAAGGUAUUAUAAAGCACUGGUAGAAUGCUAAAGUGUCUUCUUAUUUCCAGCUUUUAUAUCUGCAUCUCACAAAUUCACCAUAUUUCAACCUAAACAAACUACUGACUGUCCAACAGCAACUUUUUCAAACUACAGUAUGCAGAAGAAAAAACAAGGAAAUUGAAAUACUUGAUCUUACAGAAGGAAAAACACCCCCAAAAGCUAUAUACUAAGCCCUACUAAUUUUCAGUUUCUUUCUUACAAAACUCUUAUAUGGAAAUGUAUCUUUAUAAUAUAUGUUUAUGUAUAUCUAAGAUAACAAUCGCAACAUCUUCAGUUCUUUUUCCAGUUGCUGUGUGUUAAUAUUGUAACUAGACUACGGCUAUCCCCACAAAAGUAUCAAAGGACAUUGUGAAACAAAAAUCCUUAUCCCUGCAUUUCACCUGUAUGUGGUCCAACGAGAACGGAUAUUAUUUGUGAGAGGUCACUCACCUCUUUUUGCUCUUGUUUGGAGUUCAGAUUACUUGUGCUUAAUUCAUUCUCUGUACCAAUCCAUCUUCCAGUAUAUAAUUUGAACACAAAAAAUUGUACCAGAAAAAGACUUGGAAAGGUUAAUAAACAAAAAGCCUGCUUAGCUUUUCUCUGAAAAAGGUUCACCAAUGCA